UACGAACUGUGCAAACGUUAUUCGGAUUCACUGGGCUUAAAGGGUGCGUAGGCGGCCAUGUAAGGAGGGUGUGAAAUCCCCCGGCUUAACCGGGGAACUGCGCCCUAAACUGUAUGGCUGGAGUGAGAUAGGGGUGUGUGGAACUUCCGGUGGAGCGGUGAAAUGUGUUGAUAUCGGAAGGAACGCCGGUGGCGAAAGCGACACACUGGGUCUCAACUGACGCUGAGGCACGAAAGCCAGGGGAGCGAAUGGG
rnacentral:rRNA from 1 species